rnacentral:rRNA from 1 species
CCUACGGGUAGCUGCAGUGAGGAAUAUUGGUCAAUGGACGCAAGUCUGAACCAUCCAAGUAGCGUGCAGGAUGACGGCCCUCCGGGUUGUAAACUACUUUUAGUUGGGAAUAAAAAGGGGCUCGUGAGCCCCGUAGUGUAUUUACCAUCAGGAAAAGUACCGGCUAAUUCCGUGCCAGCAGCAGCGGUAAUACGGCAGGUUCGGGAGUGAUCCGGAGUUAUUGGGUUAAAAGUGAGCGUAGGGCUGCUUUUCAUUCCGCUGUGAAGGUCCGCGGCUCAACCGGGGAAUUGCAGUUGAACAUGGCGGCAUUGAGUGCACACAGGGAUGCCGGAAUUCAUGGUGUGGCGGUGAAAUGCUUAGAGAUCAUGAAGAACUCCGAGCGCGAAGGCAGGUGUCCGGGGUGCAACUGACGCUGAGGCUCGAAAGUGAGGGUAUCAAACAGGAUUCGAUACCCGAGUAGUC